CAGUCGCCGCGGGAAUACGUAGGUGGCAAGCGUUGUCCGGAAUUAUUGGGCGUAAAGGGCUCGCAGGCGGUUUCUUAAGUCUGAUGUGAAAGCCCCCGGCUCAACCGGGGAGGGUCAUUGGAAACUGGGAAACUUGAGUGCAGAAGAGGAGAGUGGAAUCCCACGUGUAGCGGUGAAAUGCGUAGAGAUGUGGAGGAACACCAGUGGCGAAGGCGACUCUCUGGUCUGUAACUGACGCUGAGGAGCGAAAGCGUGGGGAGCGAACAGGAUUAGAUACCCCAGUAGUCCCUGUCUCUUAUAC
rnacentral:rRNA from 1 species